UUUUAUCAAUAAGCGGAGGAAAAGAAACCAACAGGGAUUGCCCUAGUAACGGCGAGUGAAGCGGCAACAGCUCAAAUUUGAAAUCUGGCUCUUUCAGAGUCCGAGUUGUAAUUUGCAGAGGGCGCUUUGGCUUUGGCAGCGGUCCAAGUUCCUUGGAACAGGACGUCACAGAGGGUGAGAAUCCCGUACGUGGUCGCUAGCUAUUGCCGUGUAAAGCCCCUUCGACGAGUCGAGUUGUUUGGGAAUGCAGCUCUAAAUGGGAGGUAAAUUUCUUCUAAAGCUAAAUAUUGGCCAGAGACCGAUAGCGCACAAGUAGAGUGAUCGAAAGAUGAAAAGCACUUUGGAAAGAGAGUCAAACAGCACGUGAAAUUGUUGAAAGGGAAGCGCUUGCAGCCAGACUUGCUUGCAGUUGCUCAUCCGGGCUUUUGCCCGGUGCACUCUUCUGUAGGCAGGCCAGCAUCAGUUUGGGCGGUGGGAUAAAGGUCUCUGUCACGUACCUCUCUUCGGGGAGGCCUUAUAGGGGAGACGACAUACCACCAGCCUAGACUGAGGUCCGCGCAUCUGCUAGGAUGCUGGCGUAAUGGCUGUAAGCGGCCCGUCUUGAAACAC
rnacentral:rRNA from 1 species